GUUUCGUUUCCAUCCCUCUCACGUGUGCAGGUGAGCUUCAUAAUAGAGUAGCUAGACCUAUCCGCCUUCCAUUUUCUGAAUUUUUCUGGGAGCUAGUAGUACCUAAAAGGAGGAAGCUGGCAACUCCGUUUACCUAAACGUGUAUAGCACAUGUGAUGCUACAGAAUUUUGUUGGAGCUGGAUGAGACUUUUGCCGUUCCCCUUGUACUCCUUCAUAUAAUCAGUUCAUGUUUUCAAACCAUGUAAGGUAAGAUAUAUCACCUAGAAAGGUACAAAGUAAAACUUCUAUAAGUUUAGUGCGUGUGCGGCUGCAAUUCUGAGCUUCUUGUCCAGCUAUACUAGUGCUGAUGAAUAUUGAUUUGAUUGAAAAUUUAGUUGAUUCCUGAGACCCUUGCUAGUCCUUCUACAUACAGAAAAAUUUUAUUCAUUGUGAGAAGAGAAAAAUGUUGCUCUAGUUAGUUUCUCUUUCAACUAUAUCAUGUACAAGCUCUUGUAGAUACAACAUGUAUAGGCUCUUUAUUAUAUGCCUAGAUCAGCACUUCUUGUUUAUAUGUUACUAAAUUAUGUAGAAUUUCUUCCUGUUUAAGCAUGUUUAUAUGCCUAGCUAUCCCAAGUGCUUGUGGUUGUUUAUUAUAUGUAACUAAAUUGUGAGAAGUUGAUGCUUAAUGUUCUAGUUCAUGCUCCUCUGCAGGUCAACCUCCUGGGAUACACGAAGUUUCAGUUCGUCGAGAGGCUUCCUGGAGCUUCAAAACAUUUCACUUCAACUUUUUAGGCUUUUUCAGUACAUCUUACAAAGUGUGUAAGCUCCCUGGAGUAGCGCCUUCGACGCUUGCCCUGCUUCAGCAGUCGUCAUCGUGAGGAUUAGCUACCGUCUAUUUGGCACGGGACCUACCUACGAUGGUCCCAUCUAUUGUGAGGUACAUCCUUUUUGAAUCUCUCCUCUCCGGCUCCGCAUGGUGAAGAUCUCCGUGUCUACCAUUUGUACUGUCAAUUUAUUUUGAAUUGAACUGGUGCUGCACUUGAUUCAGAUAUGAGGGAAAAACAUAACUACAUAAUUCAGUUUCUGAUUUGCAUCCUAUAAAACCAAACAGUGAAGAAACACACCCCUGUACUUUCGCUCUUGUACUGACAGAUCAUGAAUUUAGGAAGCUGCAACCUUUGACAUUAUUCUGUAUUGAGAUUUUGGUGCGAGAACAAGAACGUCGAGAGCAUGUGUAUGGACAAGUAGUUGUGCUUGGGUAGAAUUUAUUGAGGAUUUUAGAGAGCUGGGCAAGCCAAAGUAAAUCAUGCACUCACCCAAAAGUUCAGCAAAAACGUUUACCUCAGUUCAGACUCAAGAGUUGCUGGUUUCGGUAUUUCCUUACCUUCAUGUGCAGUAACAAAGUGCGUACAUUUGGUGGUUUUGUGAAGGAGUUAAGCUUUUAUUUGAUUUUCAGUUCGGGUUUAUAAAUGGAAUAAAUUUAUGUAGAAUUCAAGGGACUGAGAUUAGAUUUGUACUGUUUGUUCAUGGAAAAGGAAUCUGCUCUUCUCUUUGUUGAAAUUACAAUAUGUAGUUUUGCUCUCAGCAUUGCAAUUUCACAUGUUUGUUGUAUUAAUUAUUAGUUUGUCUAAUUAGCCGGCCGUGUUGUGUAUUCUGGUCAGUUCGUGUGUGUAUUGUGUUGCCCUCGAGCUGUAUGAGAGGCCGCCCGCGGAGCCGAGGAAGUCGUCGAUCUGGUCGAGGCAUGCUCUUAUUCUCAAUUUUCAGUAGCACAUAAAUUUGAAAGUUCGAAUGCCAGACCUUGGUAAGUUCUCCUUGACAAAACAUCAUCUCUCAUAUUUGUUCCUACUUUUGUAGGUUGCAGCAAAAACAAGAUGCACAUGUUCAUUUUUUGUAUGCUUUUCAGUACAUCUACUUCCUGACGGUGAGUUAUAUUUCCUUUGUGUAUCCAUCUUCAUAUAUAGCACAAACAAGUGCUUGUGGUUAUGCUUCAGAAUGAGCACUGUACUGCCUCUUGGUUCAGUUCAAUAUAUAAUUUUAGUUAAGUGCAAUAUAUAAUUUUAGUUUAGUUCAAUAUCUUGAGUAUCACCUUUUUCUCCCAUGAACUCAUGCUAACUAUGAGCAACUAAAUUCACUCUGAAUAUGAUGAUACUAAACCAUAAGUUAGCUCUGAACUCACAUAUUUGUCUUAACAAUUGACAGGUCUGAAUAUGUUGCCCCCACCAUGCCGAUUUACUGCUGCGACCUCGUUGAUUCCCAGCCUUUGAACUGCUCCCUCAAUCCCCUCCGUGGACCACUGCCGACGGUGGGCUGCACCUUCCACGGGAAGCCACGUGAUCGUGUAGACGCAUGUCUUCAUUGAGUCACUCACUGCGCAUAUGUGUGUGUGUUGUGUUUGUGUGUGCGUGGCCGCGACCAUGCUUCGCAUUUCGGUGUUGUGUAUGUGUGGUCGUGUGGUCGUCUCACCUCAAACACAUCCUAGGCUGGUGCAUGAGUUGCUGAGGAAACGCCCAAGGUUGUGGCCUCUCGACCACAACUUCGUCUCAUGGAAGUUGUUGGAUGUGGACAGCCAGAACAAGUUCAAUUCCACAUGGCUCAUCGAGGAGAAAAAGAAGAGGAACUUGAGUGGUUUCUCUGUGGAGAAGGGUAGAAGAAAUUGUGCUCUGAACAUGCUUGUUGAUACGCCCAUGAGAACGGGUGCAUUUUUCUAUAGAUUUUUGUGUUGCUGACAAAGCUACACAAGUUGUAUUUUUACAAGUUGAACUUAACAAUAUCAUCUAGAAAGUUCGUGCAUGUGUGGAUGUUCUUUUGACAUUGAACUGUUAAGUGCUUGCAAAAUCUACAGUGUUGAUCCAUCAGCAUUCGCAGCUUUUCACCUUAGUUGUGUAUGUUAUGUGUUUCAAAUGCUCAAUGAAGUUUAUGCUCUCAGUUCAUGUAUAACUACCUAGGCAUUCAUGUAUUACUAACCAGUAAGUACACCCGUUACUUUUCCCACUUAUCUGUGCUAGUGGUGAAUAGUUCAAAUU
rnacentral:lncRNA from 1 species